CGUGAGGUGGAGCGAAUCCUUUCAAAGCCGGUCUCAGUUCGGAUCGGGGUCUGCAACUCGACCCCGUGAAGUCGGAGUCGCUAGUAAUCGCAGAUCAGCAACGCUGCGGUGAAUACGUUCCCGGGCCUUGUACACACCGCCCGUCACGUCAUGAAAGUCGGUAACACCCGAAGCCGGUGGCCUAACCCCUCGUGGGAGGGAGCCGUCGAAGGUGGGAUCGGCGAUUGGGACGAAGUCGUAACAAGGUAGCCGUACCGGAAGGUGCGGCUGGAUCACCUCCUUUCUAAGGAG
rnacentral:rRNA from 1 species